UACGUAGGGUGCGAGCGUUAAUCGGAAUUACUGGGCGGAAAGCGUGCGCAGGCGGUCUGUUAAGACCGAUGUGAAAUCCCCGGGCUUAACCUGGGAACUGCAUUGGUGACUGGCAGGCUUUGAGUGUGGCAGAGGGAGGUAGAAUUCCACGUGUAGCAGUGAAAUGCGUAGAGAUGUGGAGGAAUACCGAUGGCGAAGGCAGCCUCCUGGGCCAACACUGACGCUCAUGCACGAAAGCGUGGUGAGCAAACAGG
rnacentral:rRNA from 1 species